GUGGGGAGAAGCAUAUCCCACAGCUGCCAGCGGUUAGAAGGCUCUUGGCCAGUUGGUUUCACAAGACUUGGUUAUCUUGGUGCAAAGAUGCCAUCUCUCGCCGUUGGGGGAGGCAGAGGGCGGAGGAAGCUCAUGGACCAGUGCCUGGCCCUCAGGCACUCUGAGAACCUGACUGAAGUCACAAACGCUCUCUCAGAAAGGCGUGCGUGUGCACACUCUCACCCCAUUUUGACGUCAGUUCAAGGGGGAUCAUAGGACCCCCGGUGCCCACGUGGGACCCCACCCUAGUUAAGAGGCUCUGCUUCCAUGUUUCUUUAUUUUAUUUUUUUAGGACUUCACCCACAUAUGAAAGUUCCCAAUCUAGGGGUCUAAUCAGAGCUAUAGCUGCCAGCCUAUGCCACAGCCACAGCCUCUUCUGCGACCUGCACCGCAGCUCAGGGCAACGCUGGAUCCUUAACCCACGAAGCAAGGCCAGGGAUUGACCCGUGUCCUCAUGGAUACUAGUUGGCUUCUUAACCCACCGAGCCACUCUGGGAAUUCCUUGCAUGUCUCUUUAAACCCCUCUAGGCCCUGGGGGUCCCAGGCCAAGUGGAUGGUUCUGGCUACAUCAUGGUGAAUGCUAUGGCUGUGGAUGCCCAGGUGCUGUUUACUAUGGAUGCCAGCAUGCUACGGGGGCUGCUUGUCCUCAAGACCACCAAGACCCAGCAGGAAGUGAACUUGCUGCUCACACACAACCUGCCCCCGCCUGGCCCCUUGGCCCUCCCAUCCCGUAUCCUGCUGGACCUGACCACCAAGAGGCUCGGACCUAGCUAUAGACACGCCCUGAGGGUCGGAGUGGAUGGCAGACAGGUGGGGUUCUGCCAGCAGGGCCUCGGGGAACUAGAGGCUGUGGGGAUGGCCCAGCCCAAUGGCCCAGGUCUCACUGUCAUCUGCUCUGACAGGUGUCGGAGGAGCUGACCUUCACUCAGCAUCCAGAGCACGUCUCCCUGGCCUGCACGCUCCAGCACAACAUCCCCGCACUGCGGACGCUGUGGGUGGAGGACAAGCUGGACCUGCAGGUCAGCCUUGGCAAGUGCCAGUGAUAAUGGAAAGCCAUGAUGUUGGUCCUUGAUUCAUUCAACA
rnacentral:lncRNA from 1 species